rnacentral:rRNA from 1 species
ACAGGUGCUGCAUGGCUGUCGUCAGCUCGUGUCGUGAGAUGUUCGGUUAAGUCCGCUAACGAGCGCAACCCUCGCUGUGUGUUACAAGUGUCACACGGUACUGCCGGUCUUAAGACCGGAGGAAGGUGGGGAUGACGUCAAGUCAGCAUGGCCUUUAUGUCCUGGGCUACACACACGCUACAAUGGCCAACACAAUAGGUUGCUAAGCCGCGAGGUGGAGCCAAUCCUCAAAGUUGGUCUCAGUUCAGAUUGCAGGCUGCAACCCGCCUGCAUGAAGAUGGAGUUGCUAGUAACCGCAGGUCAGCUAUACUGCGGUGAAUACGUUCCCGGGGCUU